GCAGUGUUUUUAAAGGCGUUGGUGGGGCGCGCCUUGAGGCGAGGCGCAGCGAAAACGCGUUGAGGCGUUAAAAAUAAAGCGAAACACCUGAAAGGCGUACGCUUUUCUGGUGAGGCGUGAUUGAGGCGCGCUUUGAGCGCGCCUUUCACGCUUUUUCGAUGAGGCGUACGCGUCGUCGGAUCUGAUGUGGCAAUGAAAGAUUUAAAAAAAAACCCUAAGAAUACCUAAAACCCCAGUCCCGACUGAAAACAAACCCAAAACAAACCCUACCUCUUCCAGUCAAGCGGCGACGGAGUGCUCACCCUCGGCGGCGACCAAUCGCAGCGAUCUUCUCCGGCGGCAAUCCCUCUCAUCUCCAGGUAUGUUGCGAACUUCCUCUUCCAUGGUUUCUCCCUCUUCGUUCCUCUCUCUGCAGUCCACACGGCAAAAUCCCUCUUCGUUCCAUGCGAUCUUCAUCCAAAUUUUUUUUUUUAUUUUAUCAAAUCACACGGGCGUGUCGGCAGUAUAUCUAUUUAAGUUUUAAACAUAUUUUCUCUCUCUCACAGCAUUUAAACUCUCUCACUCACAACCCACACUUCCAGCCACGAUUUUCUCUCUCUCCCAGUAGGUUUUUCAUCUUUUUUUUUUUUUUUAAUUAUCAAAUCAGAUGUGCCUUUUGUUAAUAAA
rnacentral:lncRNA from 1 species